rnacentral:sRNA from 1 species
AAGCUCCUUAGAUGUGAUUUGGUUUAGUGUUGGCAGACAUACCGGGCAUCCCCUCCUAUCCCUGGCACAGCCCGGUAGUUAGACCCCGAACUUUCCCUCCCCAUAUGAAGUUCGGGGUUUUUUUUGCCUGAUU